GGGGAAUAUUGGACAAUGGGCGAAAGCCUGAUCCAGCCAUGCCGCGUGGAUGAUGACGGCCCUAGGGUUGUAAAGUCCUUUUAACGGGGAAGAUAAUGACGGUACCCGUAGAAUAAGCCCCGGCUAACUUCGUGCCAGCAGCCGCGGUAAUACGAAGGGGGCUAGCGUUGCUCGGAAUCACUGGGCGUAAAGCGCACGUAGGCGGCUUUCUAAGUCAGGGGUGAAAUCCUGGAGCUCAACUCCAGAACUGCCUUGGAUACUGGAGAGCUUGAGUUCGGGAGAGGUGAGUGGAACUGCGAGUGUAGAGGUGAAAUGCGUAGAUAUUCGCAAGAACACCAGUGGCGAAGGCGGCUCACUGGCCCGAUACUGACGCUGAGGUGCGAAAGCGUGG
rnacentral:rRNA from 1 species